UCUCCAUGUACCUCUUUCUACACCUCCCUCCCAAAUGAAGGAAGAAAAAAAAAGAAGGGAGGGAAAAGAACACAGCCCUGUGAUGGAGGAGCACCCUGAUCCCUUCGCUGCAGAUGAGGACACAGGCUCACAGAGGGUCCGAGAUCUUACAGCUGGUGAGGGGCAGAGCAAAACGCCAACCUAUUCCUGUUGGAUUCCAAAGUUUAUACUUUAAUCGUUCGUCUAGCAGAUUCUUACAACAAUCCUGGGAGGUGUGUAUUCAGUUGUCACUUUGCAGAUAAACUGAUACUCAGCAAAGAGACUACAUAGUGACUACCGCUUAUAGGGCACUGCACAGUCUGCAAAGCAGUUUUACAUGUUGUUUCAUUUGAUCCUCAAAACAUCUUGGAAUUAAAGAUGAUUUUUCUUAGUCCUAUUUUACAGGUGAAUAAAGUGAGGCUUGGGGAGGUUGAGGCUUAGCCAUAGCUAACAUUGCUAAAGCUCUGGCAGGAGUUACUCUUUCUCCUUCUCACUGGCUGGCCCAGCCUUGACCUUGUGAUGAUGAUGAUGACGUGCUAGGGGACAGAGCCACAGCACAGAAGGUGCCGAAUGCUACCUGCCGACUUGGGACACUCACUUCAUACUCUUAUGUGAAAAAGAAAUGAUCUUCUCCGUUCUUUUUAUUACUAAUUUUGAUAGCAGGGAGGGCUGUUAGAGCCAACCCUGCACUCACACAACACUGAGGAAGAAAGCCUUAAAUUUUGUACCCUGGGUGCCUCACUUUGCUUCAUUCUAGUCCUGACCCUGCUUAAUACACAUUUAUCCAAGGAAUGAGUCACUCACUUAAGCUUUACAAGACUGUGUAAUUUCUUUUGCUGAUAUUGCCAGUGCAAGUUCUUUGAUUGCAAGUCUUAAGAAUCAAUUCUGGCUAACUUUACCUGAAAAGGAUUUUAUUGGCAGGCUAGUGUCUAACUCACAGAGGUAACACGAAGCUGGAGAAUCAGGCUUAGAAAAGGUUAGAAAGCGGAGAUGUUUUGAGAGUUUAGGCAGGCAAGUGAAUCAAUUCCAUGUUUUUUUUCCCUUUCUUGACCAGAGCUUUCUUUGAUGAGUCAAAGUCCCUGGAGCAAGGGUUCAAUUGGCUGAGCUCAGGUAACAUGUCCACACUUUAGCUAAGGAGGGCAGGCACCUUGAUGGACAGCUCCACCAAGACUGCACAGGAGUGCAAAGUUGCAGAUCCCUCUUCCUCCACCUCAGCUGCUCCCAGUGGGCAACUAAGUUCAGGUGCCCUGUUUUCAGGCUGGGAUCAAAUAGGAGGAGUUCCUGCAGUGGAAUGUCAUGAUUACACAAAUGCAAUUGUGUCUGGCAUGUGGGAGAGCAUAGCAGAUAUCCUGAGCUUUGUAACCUUAUAGACCUUUGUGCUAUUUACCAGCUGUUUGUCCCUGGGUAAGUUACUAGAUCUCUCUGAGCCUGUCUCCUUGUGUGUACAAUGGGGAGAAUAACAGUACCAGCCUUAAUGGAUUGUUGUGAGAAGUGAGAUCAC
rnacentral:lncRNA from 1 species